CCCUUAGAUGUUCUGGGCCGCACGCGCGCUACACUGAUGCAUUCAACGAGCCUAUCCUUGACCGACAGGUCCGGGUAAUCUUUGAAUCUGCAUCGUGACGGGGAUAGAUUAUUGCAAUUAUUAAUCUUCAACGAGGAAUGCCUAGUAGGCGCAAGUCAUCAGCUUGCGUCGAUUACGUCCCUGCCCUUUGUACACACCGCCCGUCGCUCCUACCGAUUGGGUGUGCUGGUGAAAUUUUCGGAUCGGCCGUUUGUCGCGGUUUCCGCGGCUCGUGGCUGAGAAGUUCAUUAAACCCUCCCACCUAGAGGAAGGAGAAGUCGUAACA
rnacentral:rRNA from 1 species